rnacentral:tRNA from 1 species
UCCGGCUUAGCUCAGCGGUAGAGCGGGUGGCUGUUAACCACUAGGUCGGGAGUUCAAAUCUCUCAGCCGGAGCCA